GGCAAUUCAUGUCAUUCAUACAACCCACUAGGUGCUACCCCACCACCUUUAUACCCAUUCUUGUCUAUUCGUGGUCUUACACUACCAUGUAUAUCAACACAGUGGUUGUGGUAUGUCUUCAAGUAUUCACACGGAUUGAGAAGUCUCCUUUUCAUCUUGUUCCUUAAUACCCAAAUCAGUUUGUUUUCCGCUCCAAGGACAUUCAUAUCAUAAUCCAACUCCGCCAGAACAGACUCGUCUAAAGGUUGUGUAAGCACAAAAAUAUAGGUAUCGUGCGAACCGAAAUAGCUUACUCCACAAUAUCCAAGUUUUCCGCCCAUAUUGCAUCUUUUUUCCUGACGUCCAUGCCGUGUUAAAAUGUAAGAUAUUUUACUUUUUACUAGAAAUGUUUUGUUUAUCAUUUCAAAUCCUUCGCCAAGAUAAAUAUCCAUGUUCAUCAUAACCACAAACCGAUUUUGGAGUCUGUCGUUUACGUAAUCGAAAAAAUCUCUGUAUUUCGGCAAGGCGUUGAUGCGAUGUACAAAUAUUUUGUGUUUGUUGUGAAAAUUUUGUUCGCUCAAUCUUUGUUCGGCUGAUGGCUGAUUAACGAGAAGAUGAACGGCUGUGACUAAAGUGUGGUUGAGAUUUUUCUGUAAUGUUUCUUCUAUUUCUUCCUGUCGUUGCCAUAGUCUGGAUAUAUUGGUCUCUGUUUGGUUUUCGUUCCAAGGUUUUUCAGUCAUCAAGGGAUAGUUACUUAUUACAUGGAUACCUGAUUCCUCCUUCUGAUGUGGGGCGUCAUGACGGUUAUUCAAAACAGCUUUUAGCCAGGCGAAGCCGUAUAAGGUAAAAAUCGCUCCAGAAACCAAAAAUAACUUGAAGUACACUUUCCGUUUAAGGAUGGCCAUUCC